UACGUAGGUGGCAAGCGUUGUCCGGAUUUACUGGGCGUAAAGAGCGCGCAGGCGGUCGUUCAAGUCGCGUGUGAAAGCCCCCGGCUCAACUGGGGAGGGUCACGCGAUACUGAUCGACUCGAAGGCAGGAGAGGGUAGUGGAAUUCCCGGUGUAGUGGUGAAAUGCGUAGAUAUCAGGAGGAACACCGGUGGCGAAGGCGGGUCGCUGGGCCGAUACUGACGCUGAGGAGCGAAAGCGUGGGGAGCGAACAGG
rnacentral:rRNA from 1 species